rnacentral:rRNA from 1 species
GCUUAUCACCAUUCCAGAUUGAAUAUACCCGCUCUCGUCUGAUCUCGGAAGUCAAGCAAUCUCGGGCUUGGUUAGUACUUGGAUGGGUGACCGAUGGGAAUACCAAGUGUGAUAAGCA